GACAGAGUCUCGCUCUGUUGCCCAGGCAGGAGUGUGGUGGCGCGAUCUUGGCUCACUGCAAACUCUGCCUCCCAGGUUCACGCCAUUCUCCUGCCUCAGCCUCCUGAGUAGCUAGGACUACAGGCGUCCGCCAGCAUGCCCAGCCAAUUUUUUUUUAUAUUUUUAGUAGGGACGGGGUUUCACCGUGUUAGCCAGGAUGGUCUCGAUCUCCUGACCUUGUGAUCCACCCGUUUCGGCCUCCCAAAAUGUUGGGAUUACAGGCGUGAGCCACCGCGCCUGGCCGAUGAUGUCUUGUUUAAAACUUGAUAUUGUCUUAUCAUUUUGUGUGUGUUACACUCAGAGUAAGAGAUGGACAUGCAGGACUAUAUAUUUCCCAUAAAUGCAAAGUGGCUUGACAUUUAAAAUAAGUAUCCUCAAACCCUGUUAAGUAUUUACUAACCACAUAUUUUUCUAAACCAUAUUUUAAAAUGCUCACUCGAACUUCCAGGACAUCAUUGGCCCUUACCCUGACUCUCCAAAUGACUCUCUGGAAGUCUCUCCUUGUGCCUUCAUCCUUUCAGAGCUAAUGGGUAUCCCCUUCAAGGAACGUUGUGUGGCCUCAUCAGCAAAAAGGCGACAUACCAUCAUUAACAUUUUUCUCUGUCAGGCUGGAGGGCUCAUCAGGAUUCAGCAGGCCUUCCCAUUAUUAUGAACAUCCAUUAUUACUGAGCUUCUAUCAGCUCACAGGUUGUGAUUAAGUGAUAUACCUCAUUGUAUGAAUCCUGGGAAAUGAAUGGGAGCUCAAAAUAGACAAAGUUCCUCUUUGUUCCAGGUGUAGUGUUAAAUCAUCAGUCUGUUCCUCUCUGAUAUGAAUUUUCAUCUCUGGUUUGUGAAAUUUCAGGGGGAGGAUUAAAGGCAACUGUGUUAUUCUUUGGCGGGUCUGUUUUUUUGUUAGAUAAGGGAAUUUCAGAGAACAGCCUCAUCCUGUGCUUUGGAAGAGGCAGAGGAUUGAGGGGUGAUGUGGUGGGGUGGUCAGAGACACCUUAAGGCUGCGUCUUUAGUUCGACAUGUCAAAAUGCCGCAUUUUGGGGUAUCCUUUCCUGAGCCCCAACACAUCCAUCCUGGUAUGUCCUCAUCUUUGCCAUGUGGCUUCUCUGCCACUUUCAUCAAGAGGUGCAGUCUGUUUCUCCAAUCCUGUGAAUCUGGGUGGACCUUAAGUCUUGCUUUGAUCAGUAGAAUGUGGGAGACGUGAUGUUAAGCAAUUCCCGAGGCUUGACCUCAACGGGCCUUGCAGCUUCCUCUUUCACUCUCUUGGAGCAUUGCCCUGAGAACAUGUGAGGGGGCUGGUCUACCCUACCA
rnacentral:lncRNA from 10 species